UAGCCCUCAACAAGUACAAACAAGUACACACAUGCAGUGUGUAUUUUCAGACCACAAUGCUAUAAAACUUGAAAUCAACCACAAGAAAAAACUUGGAAAAACCAUGAAUACUUAGAGAUUAAAGAAGAUCCUACUAAAGAAUGAAUGGGCUAAGUCGAGAAAUUAAAGAGGAAAUUAAA